AUGAAAGUGAAAAAUGAAAGUGAAGUCACUCAGUCAUGUCUGACUCUCAGCGACCCCAUGGACUGCAGCCUACCCGGCUCCUCCGUCCAUGGGAUUUUCCAAGCAAGAGUACUGGAGUGGGGUGUCAACAAGUCUCUGGAGUCCGACAAAUCUAGCUGGCAACCGGCUGAAAAAGCGGCAGUUUUCAGCUGCAAGAGGCAUAAUUCCUGUGUCUGCAGUUGACGUCUGAGUGAGAAGCAGCUGGCCCAGCAGCGUCAAACACCCUCCUUCCAGCUGGCUCUGCCUUUAAGUUAGAACAAAGUGAGAAGGCAUUCAACUACCAGAUAUUUCGAUAAGAAAAUACAAUGAAGAAAGAAGAGAAAUUGAAGCUGAGUUCUCUUACGGUCCCCAGGAUGGAACUUGUAAGUGCAUCAGUUCUUAGAUAGCAAGUGGUCAUUAAUUGUCCUUUGUCUGAAUGCAGGCUUAAAGUUGGUGAAAAUUUUUGUAUUUAAGGAAAUGUAACUCAGUGGUAAUUCAGACCAUGGACAGAAGUAUCACACACAGGAUAGGAAGGGCCUCUCCUCCAUCUCCCACCCUUUUCCUCACCCUACUCCUCACCUCAUGUACUCAAGUUUUUCUCUAGCAAAUAGGACAAUAGGAUGGGCAAUAUAUCCAAAGGGAACCAGCUUUUUAGGCUUAGGAAAUAAAGGAUUUGGGGCUAUGUAAAAUUCUUGGCUACUUUCAUUAACUUUGCUUGUGAAAUUAUAUUUUUUAAUCAUUUGUUUUGGCUGCUUUCAUUGAUUUGGAGAGUUUUUGUCUUUUUCUUUUUUAAAAUUGGCUGCUAUUUCCUUUUUGCCUUUUCUAAAGUUUUACUAACUUAAAGCACAGUCACCUGUCUUAACUGAGAGAAGAGGAAGAGUGAAAGGAUUUUUGUUCAGUAUUGUUUAGUUUAGCACGUUUUAAGAAGAGUGAAAUAUUCCUUGGGCUGGGUGUGGUGCUAGCAGCAGAAUCAGAAGAAAAGAACCUAGUUGGAAAGUGAGACUCUCGGGGAGAAAUGUGAAUAUGAUUACAAUAAAUUCUACUUGCUUGCAGCAAAGAUUUUUUAAAUUGUUUUUUAAUGAGGAUGAAUGAUUAUUCCUUUUCAACCCUGGCUUAUUGGGAUAUUUUGCUUGCUUGUGAAAGCCACUCAGUUGCAGACGCAGCAGGGACUCAAAUCAGUGGUGUAUGGAGGCUCUGCUCCUGUUACUCUCACCAGUGAAGCUGCAGCUCAAGCGAGAUGAGCAGGUUUUUGGCCUCAGGCCCAGUUGCCUUCCUCCUGUUGUCAACAACUUUUUAUCUCCUGACUAAGAUUCUUUUUAUUUUCUCACCCUCUUGUCACAAGUCACACUUAUUAGUAGCUUGUUAACAGUCUUUGUGGUUGAGACAGAGGUAAAAAUAGUACCUCAACCUUCAGCCUUUUAGAGGGUGUAAAUGAUUCUCCCUUUCCCUUAGAGGAGCACCAGUCUGACAUUGAUAUCUGUGUCCCUGGCCAGAGAGUCUUGUUUCUGUCUGUUCCCUGUUAUGAUAGCCAGUCAGUGCUGAGCACAGGGACUGUCCCAGCCCUUGUAGCUGAUAUUGCAC
ensembl:lncRNA